rnacentral:rRNA from 1 species
UUCCGGUUGAUCCUGCCGGACCCGACUGCUAUCAGAGUAGGACUAAGCCAUGCGAGUCGACGUAGCAAUGCGUGGCGAACGGCUCAGUAACACGUAGUCAACAUGCCCAAGGGACGUGGAUAACCUCGGGAAACUGAGAAUAAACCACGAUAGGUCAUGAUUUCUGGAAUGGAUCAUGGCUCAAAUCUACAUGGCCCCUGGAUUGGACUGCGGCCGAUCAGGCAGUUGGUGAGGUAAAGGCCCACCAAACCUAUAACCGGUACGGGCUCUGAGAGGAGAAGCCCGGAGAUGGGCACUGAGACAAGGGCCCAGGCCCUAUGGGGCGCAGCAGGCGCGAAACCUCUGCAAUAGGCGAAAGCCUGACAGGGUUACUCUGAGUGAUUUCCGCUAAGGGGAUCUUUUGGCGCCUCUAAAAAUGGUGCAGAAUAAGGGGUGGGCAAGUCUGGUGUCAGCCGCCGCGGUAAUACCAGCACCCCGAGUGGUCGGGACGAUUAUUGGGCCUAAGGCAUCCGUAGCCGGUUCUGCAAGUCUUCCGUUAAAUCCAGCCGCUCAACGGAUGGGCCGCGGAGGAUACUACAGGACUAGGAGGCGGGAGAGGCAAGCGGUACUCAGUGGGUAGGGGUAAAAUCCUUUGAUCCAUUGAAGACCACCAGUGGCGAAGGCGGCUUGCCAGAACGCGCUCGACGGUGAGGGAUGAAAGCUGGGGGAGCAAACCGGAUUAGAUACCCGGGUAGUCCCAG